rnacentral:rRNA from 1 species
AAAUAGAACUUUGCAGAGAGAGUUAACAGGGCGUGAAACCGUUAAUUGGCAAACGAAUCGGAGCCACGAAGUCGUUUCGUAGUAAGUUGGUGGCGGAGUUCAGUUCGUGUGACGCAAGUUGCGCGGGCGUAUUCUCACGCUCAACUAUCUUUGUAAGCGUACACUGCAACCAGUUAGACGAUCAGUCAUGGGCCGAGUGUCAACGAGUGAGCAAUCACGCGGUGGCACGCUGUGUCUGUCUGCUCGCGGUAGUAGUAGCGCGGUUGAGUUUCGGCUCUUUCGUGUUGCUGGCCGCGUGGCGGGUGAGCUAUGCCUGAAUACUGACUGGCGAAAUGAAAACCAUUGAAAGAUGUUAGAGAAAUAGCGAUUGGUUGUAUGCGUGCCUACACGAUUGACUGUCGAGUCUAAGCUUGGCGUCUUUGAAUUCAGACUUGCUUGCUACCAGUGGGGCAACCCCUGGUGCUUGUAUAGCUUCUGUCUAAUCGGGCGUCGACUUGGCGCGGCAUCGUUCAGGCGUGCUAUGAUUGGGUGCGUAUGUAAGCUGAUUCGCAAUUUGAAUUGGCAGUGAGUAGGUCGGCUUUCCGAACGACCCGUCUUGAAACACGGACCAAGGAGUCUAAUUAGGCAUCGAGUCGAUCGGUCUUGAAUAGGCCAGAAAGUGAGUUUCGACUUGCGAUUGAAGGCGUAGAGAAAUCAAAUCGUGUGAUCGUUUUGGCAACAACAGCCACUGCGCGCAACAUGUGCCUGUUCGUAUGGCAAUUGUUAGCAAUAACUUGCCGGGCGGAGCAAAGAGAUGCUUGAUUGGGACC